AGGUGAGGUAUAACCUCGGGAAACUGAGGAUAAUCCCUCAUAGUUAUCAUAUGCUGGAAUGCUUUGAUGACGAAAGCCUUUACGCCUGAGGAUGAGUCUGCGGCCUAUCAGGUCGUAUGUGAUGUAAAGGACCACAUAGCCUUUGACGGGUACGGGCCCUGAGAGGGGGAGCCCGGAGAUGGACUCUGAGACACUAGUCCAGGCCCUACGGGGCGCAGCAGGCGCGAAACCUGUGCAAUGCGCGCAAGCGCGACACGGGGAGCCUGAGUGCCUUGACUAAGUCAAGGCUUUUCUUAAGCCUAAAAAGCUUGAGGAAUAAGAGCUGGGCAAGACGGGUGCCAGCCGCCGCGGUAACACCCGCAGCUCGAGUGGUAGUCACUUUUAUUGAGCCUAAAGCGUUCGUAGCCGGUUUUGUAAAUCCUCAGACAAAUUCUCCUGCUUAACGGGAGAUACUCUGGAGAGACUGCGAAACUAGGGACCGGGUGAGGUUGAAGGUACUUCUGGGGUAGGGGUAAAAUCCUGUAAUCCUGGAAGGACGACCAGUGGCGAAGGCGUUCAACUAGAACGGAUCCGACGGUGAGGAACGAGGGCUAGGGGAGCAAACCGGAUUAGAUACCCGGGUAGUCCUACCUGUAAACACUGCCCACUUGGUGUUGCUUCUUCUAUAGGGGGGAGCAGUGCCGGAGCGAAGGUGUUAAGUGGGCCGCUUGGGGAGUAUGGUCGCAAGGCUGAAACUUAAAGGAAUUGGCGGGGGAGCACCGCAACGGGAGGAGCGUGCGGUUUAAUUGGAUUCAACGCCGGGAAGGGCGAAUUCUGCAGAUAUCCAUCACACUGGCGGCCGCUCGAGCAUGCA
rnacentral:rRNA from 1 species